rnacentral:tRNA from 1 species
CCGCCCGUAGCUCAGUUGGUAGAGCAGGGACCUCUUAAGUCCAAUGUCGCAGGUUCGAGUCCUGCCGGGCGGA